UUCGGCCGGAGCCGCCAUCUUCCAGUAAUUCGCCAAAAUGACGAACACAAAGGGAAAGAGGAGAGGCACCCGAUACAUGUUCUCUAGGCCUUUUAGAAAACAUGGAGUUGUUCCUUUGGCCACAUACAUGCGAAUCUACAAGAAAGGUGAUAUUGUAGACAUCAAGGGAAUGGGUACUGUUCAAAAAGGCAUGCCCCACAAAUGUUACCAUGGCAAAACUGGAAGAGUCUACAAUGUUACCCAGCAUGCUGCUGGAAUUGUUGUAAAUAAACAAGUUAAGGGCAAGAUUCUUGCCAAGAGGAUUAAUGUACGUAUCGCGCACAUUAAGCACUCUAAGAGCCGAGAUAGCUUCCUGAAGCGUGUGAAGGAAAAUGAUCAGAAAAAGAAGGAAGCCAAAGAGAAAGGUACCUGGGUUCAACUGAAGCGACAGCCUGCUCCACCCAGAGAAGCACACUUUGUGAGAACCAAUGGAAAGGAGCCCGAGCUGCUGGAACCUAUUCCUUAUGAAUUCAUGGCAUAAUAGGUGUUUCACACUUUGUGAGAAGCGACAG